GAAUCCUAAACCAUCAAUUCUGAAUCUUUUUUUUUUCUUUGAAAUACAAACCCUAAACCCUAAAACCUCAACUCUAAACCCUAAAAAGUAAACUCCAAACCCUAAAAUUUCAACUCUAAACCCUAAACCCUAAACCUUCAACUCUAAACCCUAAAUUAUCAGCUCUAAACCCUAAACCCUAAAUUCUACUCUAACCCCUAAACCAUC
rnacentral:lncRNA from 1 species